UACGAAGGGGGCUAGCGUUGCUCGGAAUUACUGGGCGUAAAGCGCACGUAGGCGGCUCUUUAAGUCGGAGGUGAAAUCCUGGAGCUCAACUCCAGAACUGCCUUCGAUACUGAAGAGCUCGAGUCCGGGAGAGGUGAGUGGAACUGCGAGUGUAGAGGUGAAAUUCGUAGAUAUUCGCAAGAACACCAGUGGCGAAGGCGGCUCACUGGCCCGGUACUGACGCUCAGGCGCGACAGCGUGGGGAGCAAACAGG
rnacentral:rRNA from 1 species